CUAUCCUGACUUAGCACUUAGCAUGUUUGCGGUUCCAGGUGGUCAUCCAGUCUUUCCACUGUUACUACUGUAUAACAUCAGUCUGGAUGCUGUUCAUUAAUGAAUCUUGGCAUGACUAUGUGUAAAAGGAUAUUAUAUGGAAAUGUACUGGUGUGAAUGAGAUGACUGACUUUGGGACCCAAACAUUUAUUUAUUUAUUAAUUAAUUAUUGUUUUAAAAAUGGGCAGUAAUGCAGAGAAAAACAUUAAGCAUUCGUCAUCACUGUAUUACAAUUAAGGUCAAUUAAGAUGUACAUGCAUAUUAAGAAAAAUGAGUGAUAAAAUGUUAAGAAUUUGAUUGUGCAUGGAAAGACAAAAAUAAAAUGUAGACAAUGCACAUAUCUCAGGUUUGCAAAAAAUUUUUUUUUCAUUUAAUUUCAGCAUGAUAUUUUGAACUGAAAUGCUCACUGGCCAUCUGUGCAUAAAAUUUUAUUUCUGACUGAAA